AUGUACUGUAGUAUUGUAAUGGAGGGUUGGUCUAACGGUUUGCAGGCCUAGUAUUCCAUGUAUAUUUUUUGUAACUGCAUGUUCUCUUUUUGUAGAAUUGAAGGACUGCCACAUGGGGGUGGGAGGACAGGUAUGUUCUCCCCACACCAAGAGACUCUAAUUGUUGAUAUGGUCCGUGAGAACAACGCCAAUAAACGGAGUGAAAUUCAGCAGAAGAUCAUUGAGGACCAUGUCAAUUUUGAGGGUAUCCACAGUGUCAGCCUCUCUACUGUUGAUCGUGUCCUCAAGCACAACAGACUGCGCAUGAAACAGCUGUACAGAGUGCCCUUUGAUCGCAACUCAGACAGUCAAAGAGCAAAGAUUCCAGUAUGUACAGAGGGUUUUUCAACUGGAUGCAAUGGAAAGACCCCAUGAAUACAUCUUCAUGGAUGAAGCUGGGUGUAAUCUCACCAAAAGGAGAAGGAGAGGCCGUAAUGUGAUUGGCCAUCGGGCCAUUGUUGGUGUCCCUGGGCAGCGUGGUGGCAAUGUCACAUUAUGUGCUGCCAUCAGCAAUUGUGGGGUUGUCCACCAUCAUGCCAACCUGGGGCCCUACAACACUCACCAGCUCCUCAUUUUCCUCAAUCACAUGCGAGAUGCUCUGUUAGGGCAGCAGGAUGAGCAUCACAUCUAUGUUGUUGUUGUUUGGGACAAUGUGAGUUUUCACAGAGCCCUCCAGGUUAGAGAGUGGUUCAAUAUGGACCAAGGUUUUAUCAAUCUUUGCCUUCCACCGUACUCCCCUUUCCUAAACCCCAUUAAGGGAAUUCUUCCCCUCAUGGCGGUGGAAGGUAUAUGAACACCAACCUUACACCAGGGCAAAUCUCCUGCAAGCCAUGGAACCUGCCUGUGGUGACAUAGGUGUGGAGGCAUGCCAAGCCUGGAUACGGCCUGCCAGAGGUUUUUUCCCCCGUUGCCUGGCACACCUGUGGCCUGUGAUGUGGGUGAAGUCCUGUGGCCUGACCCAGUACGGAGACAUGAUGAUGUGGCUGAGUAAUGCACUUAUUUGUAUAUUUUUGUACUUUAUUUUUACAUGGGCUUACUGUACACAAGUGGCAAAUGCACAAGAUUUCAGUUUUUUGUCCUUUUGUACAAGUGCUAAAUGCCCAGGUUUUUUGUUUUAGCCUACAGUGAACAAUAAACAUUUAUUUCUCCA